UUAAAAUUAUUUGAAUCCCAAAUGUGGGAAAAAUGAUGAAAAACCUCAAGCUCUUCUUCUUCUUCUUCUUCUUCUUCUUCUUUUCUCAAACUCACGUUGGCUGCAACUCUUCAGGUUUGUUUUCUUUAACCUUUCAUCUAAUUAUUUUGGUUUUGGCUAAUGCAAAAGUUGCAAGGUGUCAUGCAUGCAUGAAAGGGGCUAGGUGUCAUCUUUAGAGCAAAGAUAAGUGGCACCAACCUUAGGUUAGCUAGUGACACAUGUCCACUAUAUUUUUUUUUCUUUUUUUUCUUUUAACUUAAAUCUGAAUCUUUCAUAAAUUAUAUCAAACUUCUAAUAUUUACUCUUAGGUCCCUAGCCAUAAACUUUUAAUAUAAUAUUAUUAAAUAUAAA
rnacentral:lncRNA from 1 species